UACGGAGGGUGCAAGCGUUAUCCGGAUUCACUGGGCUUAAAGGGCGCGUAGGCGGGUGAUCAAGUCCGGGGUGAAAUCCUUCAGCUCAACUGGAGAAUAGCCUUGGAUACUGGUCGCCUCGAGGGAGGUAGGGGCGGGCGGAACUUCCGGUGGAGCGGUGAAAUGCGUAGAUAUCGGAAGGAACGCCGGUGGCGAAAGCGGCCCGCUGGACCUCUUCUGACGCUGAGGCGCGAAAGCCAGGGGAGCGAACGGG
rnacentral:rRNA from 1 species